UGGGGAUUUAGCAGCCUCCCUAUUCUAGACGCUUGCGUCCAAGGCCUGC
rfam:Nitrosospira sp. Nsp11 genome assembly, contig: Ga0111721_115